GCCAAGCAAAUCAUUUUUCUCAGUUCUACUCUCACUUGGUGCCGCUUCUGGCCAAUUGCUUUUCAUAUAUUUAUUCAUUCAUUUAAUAUUCAUGAAAACCCUACAAGGUGGAUUUUCAGAUGGGGAAACUGAAAGUCUGAGCAGGACCCAGGGACAACAUGGCUGGAAUCCAGGAGGAGGGUUCUUAUCAGAACUUGACCAUGCUUGCACCUUGAUCUUGAACUUCCGCCUCCAGAACUGUUGCUAGGAGAUCUGAAGAAAUAUGGGAACUAAUCAGAAAAACAUGUACAGAUUUAUAUAUAGAGAGAUGUUUGUCCACAUGAAAAUUGGAAACAAUUAGAGGCAAUCUAAAUACACAACUGGAUGGCCUUUUGCUUCCUUACAUUGGAGAAAGCAAGAUGGGUCACCAGGAGCAUCCAAAAAAAUUCAGCCAAGGUUCUCCUUUUUGCCACAUCUGCUCAAACCGGCACAGUCUGACCCGGAAAUACAGCAUCAGUAUGUGCCCCCAGUGUUCCCGUCAUGAAGUUGGACGAAGUGAACUUCCUUGAAUGGAUCAUCCAAGAUAUUACCUUACUGCAGAAACAAUGCCAGCUCUGUGUACAUAAAAUAAAAAUACUUCAAUUGUAGUGGGUCCCCGCUGGGCACCCCUUCUUGGCCAGAGGGAGAUGAGGACUGUCCAUUGGAACUUUUACCUCUGCUGUGACUGGCCCUCUCUUACUGUGGAUAGCAGGGAAGAAUCUCGGCUCUCCGAAACCAGCCAGGUCUGCCCUUGCCCAGGAUGAAUGGGGAGAGUGGAAGCCACAGCUAUUGCGGACUGCUGGUCAAGUGUUUGAACCGGAUGAUGACCCCACAGGAGAUCGCAGAUGGUCACAUGUCCCUGGACACUUGGAGAAGGGGUCGGCGAGGGCAGCUCGAAUGUGUGGCUCGUGGGGCUC